GGUAAUGUCUGGGAAUCCGAGACACAUAACCCUAAUUCAUAAAUGGGAUUUGGGGUAGGUCUUUUUGAGUCGUGUUAAUGUAAGAAUGACUCCUAUCAUUAGGAGUGCUGCUCGGAGGUUACUCACCUUUGGGAGUAAUACUGAAGAGAGGGGUCUGCAGAAAGGAUGUGUAUGAAGCUUAGAUAAUAAUGGCUGUUUCGUAAACUGUUUGAGACCUAUUAAUGAAAAUGACUAUUUCUUGCUGUUUUUAUCCAACGUCUGCAUUUUCCCCCUUUAAAGCUGCGGUCUCCUGUUUGAUAAAAGAAUAUUGGCCAGUAUUGCAGAUUUUAACUGAUUUGGCUGAUCCUCCAGGGACCAGUUUCUGUGGGCGUGUAUUGGAGCAGGUUUGUCUUUAAAUGUUAAAGAUGCACUAUCCUCUUAGAGAAACAAUCAGUUCAACUAUUGUUGUACUGACUGGGACUUCAUAUUCUAAUGGAUGUGGCAAAAGAAUUGCAAUAAGAAGCAGUGAACAUUUGGAACCCCAAAAGAAAGUUACAGAUGUAUCGGCAAGCAGUGUAAA
rnacentral:ncRNA from 2 species